CAAAUUGUGGUCUGUGGACCAGCAGUAUUGGCAUCAUCUGGAAGCUAGUUAGAAAUGCAGACUCUCAGGCCCCACUCCAGCCCUACUGAAUCAGAAUGUGUGUUUUAGCCAGGUCCCCAGGAGAUUCACAUGCGUAUGAAAGUUUGAG